rnacentral:lncRNA from 1 species
GUCAAUUUUCUUAGAUAUCUCAUCCAUAAAUUUAAAACGAGAGAAAGUAAUAACAACGUAAUACACAUGAUAACACAUUCAUUUUUUGGAAACGCUCAUCAUCGUCACAAAAUACAUAGAUUGUUGCAAAUUUAUACAUGAUUUCCACUAAUGAAAUAUCUAUAUUACAUAUAGUGACAAGAUAGAUAAUACACAACAACUUGAAAUUGUUGUGCCUUUUUUUGAUCAACACACAACAUUAUUUAUUCAUGGAAUUUAGUACUAGAAAGAGUGCAUCAUGCAUGAUCAUAGCAUUAUGAUCAGUUUUGAGUAUUGUCCUUAGCUUGCAUGGCAACAAAUUCAGCAUGCGAGCAGCACCUGCCAUGGCAAUGGUAUUGGCAACCACCUCCACCGUGGUUGUAACCGCCUCCACCAUGGUUGUAGCCACCACCAUUGUAACCGCCUCCACCAUGGUUGUAGCCACCACCGUUGUAACCACCUCCACCAUGGUUGUAUCCACCACCAUUGUUGUAUCCACCACCACCGUGGUUGUAACCUCCACCAUUGUUGUAUCCACCCCCACCGUGGUUGUAACCUCCUCCAUUGUAACCACCACCGUGGUUGUAACCUCCACCAUUGUAACCACCACCAUAUUUGGCAUCAUUUACUUCAUUAGUCUUUUCAACAACUUCUGCAAACACAGCACACAUAUAUAUAUAAUAUAUCAUAUAUGAAAAGAAUUUAAAAAAAUAUAGAAAAUGCUCGUGAGAAUAUAUAUAUAUAAAGAAAAAUAAUAUAUAGCUGACCCUUUUUGGCAUCAGAGGUAGUUUCAGUUAAGUCCCUGGCUGAGACUUCUGAAGAAAUAAGAAGAACCAUAGCCAAGAGGCCUAGGAUGAGGAUUGCCUUUUUCGAAUCCAUUGUUCAAUAUCUGUUCAAAUGUAAUAUUUGGUAGUGAACGAUGAGAAAACUAGUAAGAAGUAUGCUCUAUAUAUAAUGGAGGGAAGGAGAGGGAGAUGUAAGGACCUUUACUUGGUAGUUGGGAAGGUAGCUAGUGAGUAUAAAUUCAAUCUUAUCUAUAAAUUUUGAAAUAUUGUUUGGUAAUUUUGAUACUAUUCAUAAUCUAUACUAUGUACAACAAAAAUGCAUGGUUUUAGGAUGAUUUUUUCACUUUCAAUUAUACUCUUACAAAAUUGCCUAUAAAAAUGUUAUAUUAUUGACGUCAUUUAAAAAUAUAUGAAUUUAUACUAUAUUUGUUAUAGGGUAAAAUAUGCUUUUCAUCCCUGCAAUUAUAGGCCGUUUGAUUUUUCAUCCCUGAGCUUACUAAUCCUCCCAUUUUGCCCUUGUAAUUACUAAUCAUUUGAAAGUUCGUCCCUCUUCCCAGAUAAUCACUGCCACAUCAUCAAAUUAGCAAAAUGGCAUGGGAAUUGACAAAAAUACCCCUGAUCUAUUUUUAAAAUUCUGAAAAUUGUUUUUAUAAAUUAAAAAAUCUGAAAAUAAUUUUAAAAAAUAAAAAAAUUAUAAAAAUAUUUUGAAAAUAACUUUUUCGAAAAAAAAUGAAAUAAUUUUUCACAUAAUUUUAAAAAAUAUAUAAUCAGAUUUUUUCGAAAUUAAUAUUCUGAAUUUUAAAAAAAUCUUUAAAAAAAAUCAGAUUUUUUAAUAAUUUUCGAAAUUAUAUAUUCAGAUUUUAAAAAAUUAUAUAAUUUUAUAUUUUUUUCAUAUUUCAAAAAAUUAUAUUUUUUUAAUUUUUUAAAAUUAUUUUCAGAUUUUUAAAUUUUUAAAAAUAAGUCAGGGGUAUUUUUGUCAAUUCCCAUGCCAUUUUGCUAAUUUGAUGACGUGGCAGUGAUUAUCCGGGGAGAGGGACGAACUUUCAAAUGAUUAGUAAUUACAGGGGCAAAAUGGGAGGAUUAGUAAGCUCAUGGAUGAAAAAUCAAACGGCCUAUAAUUGCAGGGAUGAAAAGCAUAUUUUACCCUUUGUUAUAUUAUAGGUGUCAUCGGAAAAUAAAAUUGAAGUUUAUCACAAUAUAAAAAUACAAAAUAUCUAUAAUUUUAAUUUUAAAUACAAUCAAAAUUUCAUAUAACUGUCGUUUGAAUGUCUUAACACAAUAAAAAUAGUGGACAAACUAACAUGAGAUAUCUUUCAAACGAAAGGGAAUAGUAAAAAUCGGAGGCUAUGAAAGUGAAGUAGGAUUAUAUUUGCAAUUGGCUGAAAGCGACAAACUAUUGAAAGAAUACUACUGGUGGUUCAUAACUGCUAUCUCAUCUCAUGGAGAUACAUAGAUCCCAACUAAAUAAAAGAAUUGGCAAGAGAGUACUCUCUCCGAUUUUUAUCAUAAAAAAAAAUAUUGAAAAAACAUCAAAUUCAAUGCAAUCAUUAAUUAAUGUAACUUUUUGAAUAUUUUUAAAAAAGAUGUUAUUGGUCUUUAAUUUGAGGUGGUAUGAGUAUUCUUAUCGUCCUUCGGUAGGAGCGUCAGGUUGUUUAUAAACUGUGCGGGGUUGUUUUUGUUGGAGGUGUAGUCAUCGUACAAUUUUGAGCAUGUUCUGGAUCCCAUGGUAUGUUUCUUACUAAUAAUAUAUAAUUACAAAUUUUAUUUGGCAAAUAUAUAUGAUCCAUGUGAUAAUGUAGAUAAGAAAUUUUUAUUUGACAAGUUAUUUGCAAGUCUUGGUGUAUGGGAGGGGAAGAACUUUUGUGUGUGUGGUGAUUUUAAUGUGGUUCGGUGUAUGGAAGAAAGGAAAUCAAUUAGGGAAGUAGUACAUUAUGAAGACAUUGAUCCUUUUACUAGAUUUAUUGAGGAGAAUUUCUUAGUUGGUCUCCCUCUUGGGGGUCAUGCAUAUACUCGGUAUUAGAGAGACGGUAGAAACAUGAGCCACCUGGAUAGAUUCCUGUUAUCUGGAGCUUGGUGUUUGACUUAGACUAAAUGUUUUCAGAUGGCUCAAAUUAGAGGUUAUCAGAUCAUUAUCCUAUUGUGUUGUUUCGUUGAUGACAAAAUUGGGGGCCCAAACAACCGCAUAUGUUGAAGUGUUGGUUAGAGAUUCCAAGUACUAAGUAGUUUGUUUGUGAUCAGUGGAGGUCUUUUCAGGUUGAUGGUUUGGGUGGUUACGUGCUUAAGGAGAAGUUUAAGUUGAUCAAAUCGGCGCUUAAACUAUAGAAUAAUAAUCAUGUUCAAAAUUUGUCAGGGAGGAUUUCUGCUAUUAAGGAGAGAAUAGCUUUGUUAGAUUGUAAAGGGGAAAUUGAGUUGUUUUCGGAUGCGAGUCUGAGGAGUUACGUGGGCUGAUGGGUGAUUUAUAGUUUUUAUCUCGUAUAAAUACUAGUAUUUGUUGGCAAUAAUCUAGGCUACUUUUGCUAAAAGAAAGAGAUUCGAACUAUAAGUUUUUUCAUGGCAUUACUUCUAGUCAUCAUCGGCAGGGCAAUAAUCUUAAUUCUAUUAUUGUUGAAGGCGCUCGGGUGGAAGGAGUGUCUAAUGUGUGUACUGCAAUUUUUUCUCAUUUUGUGGCUCAUUUUAAGGCGGGUAAUGUUGAUAGACCACUUGUGGAUGAUCUUCAUUUUCAUACUAUAUUGCCUAUGGAUGGAGUGAAUUUGAUUAAGGAUUUUAGUCUAGAGGAAGGGAAAGUUGCAGUCUGGGAUUGUGACAGUUUUAAAAAUUCUGGGCCCGGAUGACAUUAAUUUUAGUUUUAUAAAGGAGUUUUGGCCUGAAUUAAAAGGUGAUCUCAUGAGGUUCAUUUCAGAGUUUCACCGCAAUAUAAGAUUAACGAAAGAUAUUAAAUGUACCUUAUCUUCUCCUUUUUAUCAUCUUUAUUCACUUUGUAUUUUAAUAUCUUGUUAUUGUCUCUCUUCACUCUCACUUGGUAUGUGUAUAUAUGUUUAGAUUAACUAAUUUCUCAAUAACUUAUUAAUUUUUUUUGUUUAUGUGUUUGGUGUGAAAGAAGGACAUCAAGUAUAGAUAGGUUUUUAUUUUUAUUUUUGAAAGAUCAAGUAUAGAUAGGUUGAAACUGAGUAAUCGAGCAAACUUUCGUAUGGUAGCUCAUAUGAAAAAUUAAGCGUUUAAAACAAAUGUAGCAAUAAAAAAAAAAAUUGACUUGAAGUCAUCAAAGAGAUUUUUUUUGACACAUAGUCAUCAAAGAGAUAGAUCUAUCGAGCAAUGAUAUAUAGUGUCACAUGAACAUGUUUUUUAAACUUCACAUUCUAACUUGCAUAUAUUUAUUUUGAUUCCUUACAAAAUGGUUUAUAUCUCCGAUAUGCAAUGUGUAGAUCCCUUGGACGGUUGCAGGAGCAGAACAAUGUUUCAAGUCUAUUUAUAAUAACAAAACAACCCAAACAAAAAUUAUAAGAAAAAAAAUUAUAUAUUCAUAGGGGUCGUAGGCGUAUUUGAAUCUAGGUUUGCAUAUAUACAUUAGGCUUAAAUAUAUUUUUAGUCUUUUAUCUUUUACAACAAAUGUAUUUUGGUUAUUUAUCUUAUUUUGGUCCUUUUUUGUCAAAAAAAAAAAAUAUUUUUUCUCUAUUUUUUAAAAAUUGGUAUCUUUUUAAAAAUUAGAGAAAGUUGAAAACUAUAAAUCCACGUGGCUUCCGGUUUGUCAAUUGUAUUGUAGCAAUCUAAUCUCCUCUAAAGGAGUGCGUCAAAUCCUUUUUUUAAAAGGACGUCUCAAUAAAAUCUCCUUCUAAUAUUUAUGUUCUUGUUUUCGAUUUCAACAAUCUUUUUCACUAUUCCGAACAAACAACAGUGUCUUUCCUUCUUUUUUAUCAAGUAGUAUAGUGACUAAAAUUUAUAUUUUUUAAGGUGAAUGAGUUGAGUGUCUAGAGUUAGAACUCUAACAUCUGCAUAUAAUAAUGUCUGUCUCUGGUAACUAAACUAAUUUCCUUUUCUAAAACCAAAAGCCUAAAAUUUUCCUUAAAGCCUAAACUAUUCACCUUAAAUAUAAAUUUUAGUCAUUCACCUUGAAAAAUAUAAAUUUUAGGCUUUUCUCAUGCCACGUAUUAAAAUUCUGUCACUGAUGUUAUAAUUUAUGAUUAAAAGACUAAAUCCUAAAUCUUUUUAAAAAUAUAAAUAAAUUACCAAAAUAUGAUAAAAUUAAGAUAAAGCAUCAAAAUGUAUUUUUAAUAAAAGAUAAAAGACUGAAAAUAUAUUUAAGUCAACAUGUUAAGGGAGGAAGGGACCAUGGGGACCCUCGACUACCCUCCCUAUGUCCUUUGUCCUUACUGCUCAUGUCACAAUAACAAGUAAAUGAUUUUUAAGAUAUUUUGAAUAUUCAACUGAUGUACUUGUGCUAAAUUAAAUUGCCAGCAACAAACGAUAAUGAGAGUCACCCACUUAGUUCAGUUUUUCUUUUUCAUCAAAUCUAACAAAAUUUAUGCAUUAAAUGUUUCUCUAUUUUCUUCUAUAGGUACAAAUUUGCAGUUAUGAGCAUUUAAUGUUAGCAAAAAUAUAUCCAAAUAGCAUUGCAAUUUUUGAAAAAUAUUAUGAUUCACAUGAUCUACUCAUCCAAACAAUGAUAACAAUUUUUUUUUUAAAACAUUGUUGCCGACUCUAUUAUGAUGUUACUCCCUCCGUUCCUUUAUACAUGUCAUUUUAUAUAAUUUUUUUGUUUCUAAUUAAGUGUCAUUUUCAAAGUUCAAUGUAACAUUAAAUGUUGUUUUUCUUAUAAUGCCCUUAGUAAUUUAUUGCAGAGAGAUAAAUUUAAGAAAUAUAAUAUUAAAUAAUUAAGGAUAUUAUAGGCAAACCAUAAGUUAUUGUAUCAAAAGUAGUGAAAUACAUUUAAUGUUUUGGUUUGUGUAAAAAGUCAAAAUAUGAUAAUUAAAAAGGAACGGAGGGAGUAUGAUUUAGUGAUAAGUAAGUGGCAUGCUUGGCAAUGUCUAAUUUGACACAAUUUUUGGCAUUAAAAUUUAUGAGUUAGACUAACAAAUACUUUUAGGGUACUUGUUAAAGAUUCAAAAAUAAAAAUAAUUGAAUAUACAAUUUUUAAGAUUAUUAAAAUUUCACUUUAAAUUUCUAAGCAAAUGUCAUAAGGACACUUGUUAACAUCUUACAAAAUUCAUUUGUAGUCAAACUAGUACAAAUAACAUUUCCAUCGAAUGAGAAUCAACUCCAAAAUUUCACGGUGAUCGUUGUACUUUAUUUAUACUUUUGUACUCCAACAACUUUUCUAUAUUUAUAUAUAAUUAAAAUGAAUUUUGAUUGUUAUACAUUUAAAAAAAAUUAUUCUAAACUAUCUAAAUAGUAUAAAUUGAUAAGAAUCAAACAAGCAUGUAUUCAAACAUAAAUCAAGUUACUUUCAACUCAAUUUUAAUCAAAAAUCAAUUCUACAAAACUCAAUUUUCACCCUCACAAAGCUAAACCCACACUUUAAUGACCUAAACCAUAAAGAUACCUUGAAAUAUCUGCUCAAUGCUAUAUGGAAAUAAAAUAACAAACGUAACAAUGAAAAUUGAAAGCCACACAAAUGUUUAGUGUCUCUUGGGCAAGACGAAAAUACCAAAUUAAAUCCUCUCAUUUCUUCUUAUAACUCAAUUUAUAAUAAAUUAUGGAGAAUGUUAACUAUUGUCUCAAAAACAUUGGUUAAACAUCUAAAAUAAUAAGUUUUCAUAAAAAAGUUGUGUAAACAUUAUUUGAUCAAAAGUAACAUCUUAUAUUUUCAAAACAAAAUUUCUAUUUGUAGAUUCAUUAACCAUUAACCGGAAGACACUGGUUAGAAAGACCCAUAAAUUAUUUAUGAGAUGUAAUGCUAACCGUUAAGGAUACUAGAAAAUGAAGUUAUUACUUAAUUAUAUUUUUUUUUUACUUUUUAUGGAUUAAUUUCACAAUUUUAAUUCAAUUAAUACUAUAUAAUUUCCUUCUUUAGUUUCUUUAACUACUUUCUCAAGGACACUGAUUAACAUUUCCUUUAUAAUAAUGAUCGAUGAACUAUACGUGUUGUAACUUUUUAAUUUUUUUUACAAAUAUACCUUUAAUGGAAGUUGUGAAACAUUAAAUACAUUCACUAAUAAUAGAAAUACAAUUAUUAAAUAAGGGGUAGAAAAGUCUUUUAAGCAAUAACUAUGUGACAUUUUCUUUUAAAAAUGACCAAUUUUUUUUUUUUAAAAAAACUUUCUUAUAUUAAGGACCAAAGGGACUAAAUUCAUCCAUUGUAGUCAAUUUAUCUAUAAAUGAGUGUUUUUUGAACAACCAUUUAAUUAAACACUUAUAAAGCAACCAUAAUUUACAAAAAAAAUAUUUACACAAAAACUAAAGCAAUAUAAAAAUGAAAUAAAAAAUAAUGUUAAUAUAUGAAAAAUUUAUCAUAAAAUGAAUAUUCAAAUUUCAUUUCUCUUAUCUAACCAAUCUUCCUUUUCCUUAUAUGAAAGUUACAAAGCCGCCACAAAAGACUUUCCUUCAAUCAUUGUAAGGAUAACUCAUUCAGUACGUGGACAUGGUCCUCGAAUUCAAUCAUGUGGAACCAUCCAUAGGCAUAGCCAUAAAUAUUUAGAGGUUCAUGUUUCCUUCAUCAAUGGCAAUUUUAGCAUAUGAUAAUGAUUGAUGUCUUUAUAGGAGUGUUUUCGAUCAACCCACAAAUCUUGUGCUUAUAGAUACUCUUGUUUAAAGAGUUGUCUAGAACCAAAUAUUUUUAACAAAAUUCAAUAUGGUAAGUUACUAUUAUUAUAAAACUUAUUUAAGUUGGAUUGAGUAUAUAAUGAAAUAAAAUCAUUUGAGAAAAAUUAUUUGUCUCAAAAUACUUUUUUUUUUUGUAGGGAUUUGUCUCACAAUACUUAAAGCCACUAAGUAGUAACCAUUGUUUUUAUCAUGAAUUUAUUUUGUGAUUUUUUAUACAUAAUUUUAUUAAAAUUGAGGUGUUAUAAAUAUUUUUAUGAGGUCUUACAAUAAAAUGACAAAUCAUUUGGAAGGCCUCAAGUUUGAAUCAUAGCUGAACAAUUUUUAAUCAUGCCUUUUCUACUUUAUAAGUGAACUUGGGUCAGUAUUUUUUUUUUCAUAAAGAUAAUAAGAUUGUUACUAGCAUUUAAACUAUUACCCGCAUAUAAAUUACGAAAAAUAGUUUUUAUAGAAUUUUAAUUACAAUUAUAUUGAUCUUGAUUAAAAUUAUAGGUAUAGAUAAUAGAUAUUUUUCAAUUUUAUAUUGUAACAAACUAUAAUUAUCUUUUUCAAUGUUAACAAAAAUAUAAUAAAUUUAUUUUUAUUUUUUUGAAUGAUUUCAACAAAAUAGUAUUUUUAUAAUCAAAUUUGUUUAAGAAUAUAAUUGAAAAGAAAAAAUAUGCAUAAAACGGCUUAUUUUUUUUGACUGGUGCUAGUCACACCCCAAAAAAAACAAGUUACACCCCAGAAUGACUAAUAUACCCCUAAGUUGAACAUAAGUAAACUAAAUUUACAUUAACCUAAAUUGAACAUAAGUAAACUUAAUUUACAUUGAACAUAAGUAAACUUAAUUUACAUUGAACAUAAGUAAACUAAAUUUACAUUAACCUAAAUUGAAUAAGUAAACUGAAUUUACAUACUGAACAUAAGUAAACUUAAUUUACAUUAACCUAGAUUGAGUAAACUGAAUUUACACUAACCUCUUAUAUCUAGAUUGAACGUAAGUAAACUAAAUUUACAUUAACCUAGAUUGAACAUAAGUAAACUAAAUUUACAUUGACAUAAGUAAACUAAAUUUACAUUAACCUAAAUUGAACAUAAGUAAACUGAAUUUACAUUAACCUAGAUUGAACAUAAGUAAACUGAAUUUACAUUAACCUAGAUUGAACAUAAGUAAACUUAAUUUACAUUAACUUAGAUUGAGUAAACUGAGUUUACACUAACCUCUUAUAUACAUGUAAACUGAAUUUACACUAAUCUAGAUUGAACGUAAAGUUAACUAAAUUUACAUUAACCUAGAUUGAACAUAAUAAGUAAACUUAAUUUACAUUGACAUAAGUAAACUAAAUUUACAUUAACCUAAAUUGAACAUAAGUAAACUUAAUUUACACUAACCUAAAUUGAACAUAUCUCAUACCAAAACAAACAAUAAACAAAUAGAAACUCAUUGAAAAUGAAAUUCAUGAAAUUCACUAAUCUUUAUGAAUAUAGUACAAAUCAAUAACAAAGAUGUUGAUUCAAAUAUUGGUUGCACAUCUAUGGUGAUUUGUGGAUGAAAGGGGGUAAGGGUUCAGAAUGAUCAUAAAAGAUGGAUUUUUAAAAAUUUACAUGAAAAGGACAAUUUUGGUAUUAUUGUAAAAAUUUAAAUAAAUUUAGGUGUAACUAAUUUUUUUUGGGGUGUGACUAGCACCAGUCAUUUUUUUUUAUAGAUAUAGAGUAACACUUGUUUUGCAAAAUAAUAUAGUACACAUUCUCCAUAAUUAUAAACAUAAUUUCUUCUUAAAGAUAAUUUCUUGUUUUGCAAAAUAAUUUCCUGUUGGUAAAAAAAAAAUAAACAUAAUUUAUUUUUAAGAUUCAUUGAAUAACUGUUUUUUUUAAAAAAACUUUAUUAGAUGAUUAUUGUAUCUGAUCUAUAUAAAUAAAAUACAUUGAUUAUUUAAUCAAUAUGAAAAAAAAAAAAAAAAUUAACUUAUAAUAUUGACGGGAUGAGAAUUUUCAGUUGAUUUUAUUGAUUGAUGCUAUCUAUAUUUAGACCAGAGAAGGGUCUAGUUGUUGCCCCGGCAACUAAUAGACCACUCAUAUGUGAUAACAGGGAAGUGAGAAGAAUUCACAAAAUACUACACGUGUCCUUUGGUGUCCCCAGUCAAUUAAUUCUUCCACAUUGACACUUUGACAAUAUUGAGGCAUUAAAAGCAAUGGAUUUUUCCUUAAAAAAAAUGUAGGGUUAAUUAAAUUUUGACUAAAGUGCAUUUUUCCACCCCUAACUUUAAAAAACUUACAAUUUUGACCUCUUAAGUACAAAAACUAUAAUUUUGGCCCCCUAAGAUUUAACCCCUUUGCAACUUUGAUCAUUUUUGUCAAUUUUGACCGGUCAAUGCCUAUAUGGCAUGCCACGGAUGUAAUUAAUGAAUUAAAAAUUAAAAAAACCAUAUAAUCAUUUUUUAAAUCAAAUUAAUGAAAAAUGAAAUUAAAAAAAAAAAAAUAGGAUAAAAAUUAAAAAUAAAAUUCAAAUCCCUCAAUCUUUUAUUUCUUCUUCUUCAUCAUCUCUUCCUCUCAAAACACCCACUGUCACUCUCCUCCGACCACCAUCGGCGGUGACACCUCCUCCUUCUUAUUCAACAAUGCCUCUAUCGCAGCCGUCAUCCAACUUCUUUUUGUGGUGUUUCUUUUUUCUACCCAAUUUGGUUUCUUCUGUUGGUUUUUUAUUUUACCUGCUUUUAAACUUUUGUUUGUUUUUGUAUCUUUUGUAAGAAAAAUUAAAUUUCCAUAACUCUUAUUAAUUAUCUUAAAUACAAAAGAUGAAAAAAUGAGAGAAGAGAACAAUGAAACAUGUAGCACCGCUAGCUAUGUAAGAAUAGUAAUGUCGGGAAUUGUUGGUGAAAAAGUUUGUGUGUGGAAUUGGAAAUAUAACAGUAGAUUUGGAUGUGUUCCAGCCUCUAUCAUCACAGCCGCUUACCUCCACUACAUCAGCCACCAUCUCCAACUUGAGAAUCUUCUUCACUCAUGUUUCAAGGUCUUUUUUCAUUUAUUAAUUCAUGAGCUUAAUUUCACUACAACUUACAAAACGUUUGAUCAGUUAUAUAGUAUAUAUCUUCAUGAAAAUGGACUAGAACAAAAAGAACAAGAAAGUGAAGAGUUUGUAGAUGAUAUGUGUUGGUGAUGAGGAUGAAUGGUGAUAAUGAAUAUUAGAAGAUGAUGGAUGGUGGUACUUGUGAUGGGGGAAGAUGAUAUGUGCCUCUCCUUCUUCAUCUGCUUGUAUUUUUAUUUUAUUUUUCCUGAUUUUUUUAAUUUUUUAAUUUUAUUUUUCAUUUAUUUAAUUUAAAAAAUGAUUAUAUGAUUUUUUAAUUUUUUUAAUUUAUUAAUUACACACGUGGCAUGCCACGUAGGCAUUGACCGGUCAAAAUUGACAAAAAGGAUCAAAGUUGCAAAGGGACUAAAUCUUAGGGGACCAAAAUUGUAGUUUUUGUACUUAGGGGGUCAAAAUUGCAAGUUUUUAAAAGUUAGGGGGGAAAAAGUGCACUUCAGCCUUAAAUUUUUUAUCCUAUAAAUAGCUGCAGUUUUGUUUUUAGUCCUUAUAAAAAUAAAUUACAUUUUUUAGUCCCUAUUUUUCGUUAGCGCUUUUAGUUCCUAUAAAAUUUUUUGUCAGCAUUUUUAGACCCUAUCAAAAAUUUCCAUCAACAUUUUUGGUCUCUAAAAUGCUUAGGGAAAAUUUCACAGGGACUAAAAAGUGUGAUUUUAUUUUAUAGGAACUAAAAUCAAAACCGUGAAUAUUUAUAGGGGUUAAGAACUUAAUUAACCCAAAAAUGUAAUCGAUUUUUAUGAUUGAAAUCAAUGUUCACGGGACACUCUUUAAGCAUUUUUAAUAAAGAAAUUAUUCUUUAAAAAAGUUCAAGACUUCAAUUUUCAAUGCAAUAAAUGUACAAAACUUUCGUAAAAUCUUACCACUUUGAGUGCUUAACUAGUCUGUCAGGGACACUCGUUAACAUUACCCUUAAAAUUAACAUUGCUUUGAUUAUUUUAGUUCAAUUUGAAGAAACAUGGUAAAUACACAUAGAUAUCAGAGGUUCGAAGCUUGUAUAAUAAAAAUAGGGAAAUGUUAACAAAUGCCCUUGGUUAAUAAGGGUCUUGCUAACAAGUGCUAUAAGAACAUUGUUUAAGGAACCCACAAAAAGAAAUUAUGUAUUGAAAAUACAAAUCAAACAUAUGUUAAAGUCAUAACUGUACACUUUCCAGUGCAAUUGUAUGUCGUUUUGGAAAAAAAAUUUGUCCCAAAUUGUAUGUCGUUUUACAAUACCAAUGAAGCAUUAAUGUUAUUUUUUCUAUUAUAUCCUUAAUUAUUUACUACUUUCUCUUCUUCCAAGUCAUUCAUUUAUCUUUCCCAUAUCAUUUACUAAGGACAAUUUUGUAAAACAAUUCAUAAUAUUCAUUUUUCACACAAAAUUAAUUACAUUUCUUAAUAUGUGUGAAAUGCUCAAAACGUCAUACAAUUUGGGACGGAGGGAGUAUAAUAAUACAGAUUUAAAUAUUCCAAAUAAGUUUACUUAUGAAAAUUAUUAGUAGAAAUAUAGAAGAUAAAAUUAUCAUUGAUACAUAAAUAUAUUUAUCUUGUUUUGGCACUUUUAGUCUCUAUUGUGACUAAAUAAAGAGUUAUGUUAACAAUGAAAAAUUGUCAAGAUAAGAUUCGUAAAAGUAUAUUUUACUUUUUCUAUAUAUCUGUCCCCCUCAUAAAAUUUUGACUUGCUUUGCCACUCUUAUGGCUCUUCGUUAAUAAGAAUAGUAGCAACCUAAUUUGAAAUUAUAUUAUAAAGAUUGUGUGAAGCAUAAGAUAGAAAUGUUCGUGCAAGAGUAUGAGUGCUACAAUUUGUUUGAUGCCUAGUCAACACAACUUUGUACCUGUUGUGAUUCAUGAGAAUAAUUUUACAAUCUUGGAAGAUCAUACCGUACUUUGAGUGAUUUAAUUUAUUUUUGUUAUUAUCAUCAACCACCAUUUUGCAGCGUUUCUAAUACCAUGAAGUGAUGCUCUAACGAGUUCAACCAUUCAAGUUCACACAACAAACUCCAACAUUUCAAAGGACAAGCAUACAUGUUUCUUGCUUUUUCUCCCAGAGUUCAAGAUUGUGUUUCAUGCUUAUUCUCGCAAAGUUCAAGAUUGUGUUUCUUCUAUAAGCUCCAAGCAGACAUGGCAAAGUUCACUAAUUAAUUUUGACUCAUCUGUUUCCAUAAUCUAGCAACACAUCAUUGAAGCCUGCGGUAUCUUCCAUUAAUCCUUCCAACGAAGGACACAAGUUCAAUUUUCGCCAACAAAUUAACACCAUCAACAUAAGAACAAAUGUCAAUUAUAUUCAGUGUAGGAUUGACAAACCACGCUAUUUGACUGACAUUCAAUACACUUGCUAGUUAGCCUCUGUCAAUCAGGUAGUUAAUCCCUCCCAAGUAUUAGUGUGUAAUUCAAACCUUAAUCAUGUUUGUUUGUUAGUUAGGGUUAGUUACUUGUCUCUCAAGUAACUAACUGAUUUACCUAUAUUUUAGCUAGUUAGUUACUUUCUGUUUGUUACUUGAUACACAAGUAACAGUGAACAUCUUUGUAUAUAUAUAGUGUAUCCCAUUAUGAAUAAACAAUGCAAUUUUUCACAAUUCAUUAAUUCUCUUAAUUUUUCAAUCUAUUAUUCUCUCUAUCACCAAACUGUUUCUUCUAAUCCAAGUCAUCAACACAGAAACCCUAACAAAAACUGUUAUCCCCUAACACCAAGAGGCCACAUAAAAUGUUUAACCUUCGGAGGGAUGGGAAGUGACCACAUCUUGUUCCAAUCUCUUUCCCGUUUCUAAUUAAUCAUCCCUAUUUAUGAUAAUGUCAACACAAACUCAAUAAGCACUUUUGACUAAAUAUAGACCUUUUCUUGACGAAUCUUCAUAUUAUUGCAUCCUUUCUUGCAAGAUUAGUUCACGGAAUGUUGAGAACUUCAUGUACAUCUAUCUCACUAAAUAAAUUCCAAAGAAGGUUAGUAUUCAAACUUCUAGAGUUUGUAUCAAUAGGUGUACUAAAUUUGUAUGUAGCUAAAAAAUUGGUACAUACAGUAGAUAUAUAUAACAUAACCCUCCCUUCGACAAUAUUCUUUUUUUUUUGCUAAGCAGUGAGAAAGACAAACAUCAGGAGGUAACACCGACGUCCCAAUUAGGUUGACAUCCUGGAAAACCACCGUCCUCUGUCCGCUAAACUCUAAAAAUUUAUUAAUAAAGAGAAAAAAUAUAUACAAGAAGAGGGGAGACUAGACCAAAACCCUAAAAAAAAAAACAAAAAUAUAGGAUUAUGUUGACAUUGUUGAGAAGACCAAAUUCUACAUCAAACAAAGAUAGGAUUAUGUCCUAAAAGACACUCCCAAAAAAUCCCUAUUAAACAGGUAUAUAGCUUUGAAAAGAGUGUAAUAUUUUUUCAAUCAUCUUUUCUGCAAAGGAAUGAUGUAAUAGAAAUACACUAAUACAAUAAGAAGGGAUAGCUUGAGCAACUGAUUUAAUGAACUCUCCUUUCCUGUUCGAGAGAGCUUCUUACUAUUCCAACAAGAAUUAAGCUUCCACAACCGAUUCUUAAUGUAGUUAAAGAUCGAUUUUUCGCUUCUACCUAUCAUAGAUUGGAGCCCAAGAUAUUUUCCGGAGCCCAUGCACUUUGGCACUUGUAAAAUAUUAGAGAGCGUGGAGGAAUAUUUCUACUAAAGAAAAUCUCAUAUUUUUACUUCUUAAUCAUUUGCCCAUAAGUAUUUGCAUAUCUAUCUAAGAUUCCUUUUAGUAUAUGUGUUUCAAUUUCAUUGGCUCUAAAAAAUAAGUUGCCAUUUGCCCAAAAAAAAACAUGACAAAUAGUAGGAACUCAUCAUAUUACCUUCACUCCACGGACCAUUCCUUUUUGCAUUUUUAUUAGUGUCGCCAUUCCUUCCGAACACAUAAUAAAAAGAAAAUACGAUAAAAACUCACCCUAUCUUGACCCUCUUUCUAAGUAAGCUAGUAGAGUUUCAAGUUAGAAAUUACAUUCCAUUGAAUAAUAUAUUUAGGAUUAAGAUUUUUGUGAAUAAUAUUCCUACUCGUAUGUAUGUUUGAUAAAAAUUUAGAGUUUGUUCAGAUGGUUGUAAAUUUUUGGUUUUUAUUAUUGAAAAUCCAUUUCAAAGCCGAAACUUGAUUGUGCAAAAUUAGAUUCAUUUUGUAGCCAAUUAUUUUUUGGAAAAUAUGGUUACUAUGAAGGAUGAAUCCUCAAAAACAAAGAAUGAGACCAACCUCUACCAUGAUUUCCACCAAAUCCAUAGUUGUUGGAGUAGUCGAGUGUCCAUUCUUAAGAAAUUGUAUUCAAGCUUGACCAGGUUUUUAUUAUGGGUGAUCAAACAAACACAAAAGCAUAAAGGGACAUGAUUUCAAUCAAAUUAUGUAAAAAGUUCUGUCCAUUUUUACGGAGUUUAAGUUAUGAUCAAGAAAAAAAAGGUUGACGGAAGAAGCCAACAAUUACAAAUCGUAUCGUGUAGAGGAUGAAUAGGGUAGAGCCUAGCCGUUUUUUUGAAUUUAUUUUAAAUAAUAAUUCAAUUAAAUUGAUUUGAUAUGACAUGGAGAAAACAAGAAUUAUAAUUGGAUGACACUCUAAAGUGAUUUUAGAGUGUCAAUGCAUAUCCAUUUUUCCCUAGUAACAGACACUAUGUCAAGUUCGAUUUUCACUUUCAUAUUUCUAAUUUUAAUACUCACUUAACUUAAUAACAACGGAAAUUUAGAAUAUUUACAAGAACAAAACAAAUUUAACCCAAAAUUUUAUAUAACACACCUUUUUUUUUAUAUUGGUUGAAAUUUCACAAACCACAGAAUAUUGUGUGGGAUAUAUAUGGAUUUUAAUUUAGAUUAGCGUAGUCAAAUUUAAUUUUGUAAAUUUGUCCAAAAAAAAAAUUAAUUUUUUCGUAAAUACUCAAAUUAAUUUAAUGUCUGAAUAUUGAAAUAUACCGUUAAUCAUUUAUAUUAAUGAAAAACAUUUAUUUUAUUUGUAUGUUUUUUUAUUGGACCGAUGUGGAAGAGACUUGUUCUAAAAUUUGCUCAUUGUUCGAUUUAUGAUUAGAGUCGUAUAUAUUGUAUCCAGUGUUAUCUUUCAUGUGUUUAUAAUGCAUGUGCUGAAAAAAUUUAAUAACAAUUCAUGGUGGCUCUAAGAACUCGCGCCUAGCUUCCCCAUGAAGUCUGUUGAGCCAUCCACCUUCCUCAAAGUAUAGGUUUAGUCAUAUACAAGGUUUUAAAAAAUGGGCUGUUAUCGGGAAAAAUUCCGUGACAAUAAGGUAUAGGUAGCCGAUGUUAUCGUUUUUUACCGUUUUUAUAGAGUGAACAAAAAUCACAACGAAACGUCGUUUCAACUGCGAUGAAACACCAUUGCGGCCGCAAGAAAUGUCGUUUAUGACAAUUGUCAUAGAAUAUGGAUAUUUUUUCAAUUAAGAUAGAUGAAAAUCAUAUUUUUAGUACAUAUUUAAUCAUAAUGUUGGUUCCUCAUCUAGUUUAGAACUCAAAAUCUAUCUCUAGUUUAUGUUAUUUACUUUACUAUCAUCAUUUAAGAAUUUUGCAAUGUUAUGAUUAAUUCACACCGUGACAACCGUAAUCCGUAGUGCAACAUCCGUAACAGUUGAAAUCGCAAAAUCCUAUACGCGAUCGCGAUCGCGUCCGUUAUUUAAAACAUUGGUCAUAUAUAUGUUUAUUGUUUCUAUUUUAUAUAUAGAUAUAUGAUUAUAAUUUUAUAAGGUUAGGGCAUAAAUUAAGGAACAAAAAGUAGAAGUUUCUCCUUGAAAAUUGAGCAUUCAAUCUCUUGAAAGUUUCAAAAGUUAUUUUAUCAACAAAAAAAUUUAGGGUCAUGUUAACUUGUGCCCUAAGGGCACAAAUAGGGUACAAGUUAAUAAACUAAAAAUGGAAUAAAAAGACAACUUUAGCAUUGAAAAUAUAAAUUUUCAAACUUUUAAUACAAUGAAUGUACAAUUCCCAAGAAAAAGUUUCUAUGUUUAAUUUUCAAAUUUUUAAUACAAUGAAUGUAUAAUUUCCCAAAAAUUUAUUACUUAAUUCUAUUUUAAGUUCCUUAACUUAUGCCCUAACAUGACCCAAUUUAUAAAAGUUUUAUAUUUUAUAUAAGCAUAUUUUUGUUGGGUUACUGGAGGAGCCGAGGGACCGUCCACAUCGAGGCUAGAACAACCACACAAGCAAGAGAGACACCACACUCUUAUCCAAAACCUAAAGGUAAUGUGUUUAUUGGUCCUCUUACUUAUAAGGUGUUCAACCUUUACUCUUUUAUCCGAUGUGGGACAUAUAACUCACACUUGCAAACAACAACAAUUUUUAGAAAUUUUAGUGAAUUUUAUCUAAAAAAUAACAAUAUGUUACAAAUAUGUAUUAAGAAGUUUUAUGUUAUGAAUUUUACUCCCUCAAAAAAAAAAAUGUUAUGAACUUUAUAAUCGGUCAAUUUUCUUAAAAACCAAAUUAAAGUAAUAACAACAAUGAUAUAAUACACAUUCACCACUUCUUGCAAAAGCUCAUCCCCAUCACAGAUACAUAGAUUGAUGCAAAUUUAUACAUGAUUUUCACUCCUGGAAUAUCUUUACUAUAUAGUGACAAGAUAGAUGACAGCAACUGAGAUUGAUGUCUAUCUAUGCAUGCCAUUUUUUAUCAACUCACAAACAUUAUUUAUUCAUGAAAUUUAUUAUUAAGAAAGAGUGCAUCAUAACAUGAUCAUAGCAUUAUGAUCAAUUCUGAGUUUUGUCCUCAGCUUGCACGGCAACAAAUUCAGCAUGUGAGCAGCAAUGGCCAUGGCAAUAGUAAUGGCAACCACCUCCACCAUGGUGAGAACCACCUCCACCGUGAGAACCACCUCCAUAGUAAUGUCCACCACCAUUGUGGUAAUUACCACCACCAUUGUGAUAACCACCACCACCAUAUUUGGCAUCAUUUACUUCAUUAGUCUUUUCCUCAGUUUGGACGGCAACAAAUUCAGCAUAUGAGCAGCAAUGGCCAUGGCAAUAGUAAUGACAACCACCUCCACCGUGGUGAGAACCACCUCCACCGUGGUGAGAACCACCUCCAUAGUAAUGGCCACCGCCAUUGUGGUAAUUACCGCCACCACCAUAUUUGGCAUCGUUUACUUCAUUAGUCUUUUCAACAACCUCUGCAAACAUAAUAUAUAUGAACGAUUACAUUUUAUAUACAUAUAAGAAUGAUCAAAUCACAUCGCUGUAAUGUUUGAAUAUUUUUACAAUGCUCAAAAACUUCUUAUUUGAUACUUAUUUUAUAAAGCUAAACAGUUAAAUGUAUA